CCCAGACUCCUACGGGAGGCAGCAGUGAGGAAUAUUGGUCAAUGGCCGCAGGGCUGAACCAGCCAAGUCGCGUGAGGGAUGACGGUCCUAUGGGUUGUAAACCUCUUUUGUCAGGGAGCAACGCCGGCUACGUGUAGCCGGACUGAGAGUACCUGAAGAAAAAGCAUCGGCUAACUCCGUGCCAGCAGCCGCGGUAAUACGGAGGAUGCGAGCGUUAUCCGGAUUUAUUGGGUUUAAAGGGUGCGCAGGCGGAAUGUCAAGUCAGCGGUAAAAUUUCGGGGCUCAACCCCGUCGUGCCGUUGAAACUGGCGUUCUUGAGUGAGCGAGAAGUAUGCGGAAUGCGUGGUGUAGCGGUGAAAUGCAUAGAUAUCACGCAGAACUCCGAUUGCGAAGGCAGCAUACCGGCGCUCAACUGACGCUCAUGCACGAAAGCGUGGGUAUCGAACAGGAUUAGAUACCCUAGUA
rnacentral:rRNA from 1 species